UAGAGUUUGAUCCUGGCUCAGGACGACCGUUAACGGCGCGCUUAAAACAUGCAAGUCGAACGAGAAGCCACAUCUUGCUCUGGUGGAAAGUGGCGAACGGGUGAGUAACACAUGAGAAACCUGCCUCAAAGUUUGGGAUAAGCCGAGGAAACUUGGUCUAAUACCGAAUAUAUUCUUUUUAUCGCAUGAUAGAAAGAACAAAGCUCCGGCGCUUUGAGAUGGUCUCGUGUCCUAUCAGCUUGUUGGUGAGGUAAAAGCUCACCAAGGCAUCGACGGGUAGCUGGUCUGAGAGGAUGUCCAGCCACACUGGGACUGAGAUACGGCCCAGACUCCUACGGGAGGCAGCAGUUAGGAAUCUUGCACAAUGGACGAAAGUCUGAUGCAGCGACGCCGCGUGCGGGAUGAAGGCCCUAGGGUUGUAAACCGCUUUCAGUAGGGACGAAAGUGACGGUACCUACAGAAGAAGCUCCGGCCAACUACGUGCCAGCAGCCGCGGUAAUA
rnacentral:rRNA from 1 species